ACAAACUUGUGCGUGGGACGGGUAAUCCACUCUUGAACUCGACUAGCAAAAUUGAUGGUGACUGAUGAAGAGAACAGGGGAGGGGAGGGAAACGAGAAAGAUUUCACACCAAGAUGUUUAACCUCCAAGUCUAUGUGGAGACCAUUACCCGUGACGACGAGAGCCUCCAUACACUUUAGAAGUGAUUGGCUCGUGAAAAUAUUCAGGGGAUUCGUUUAGCUAAUGGUUCGCUUACAAUCGUGAGUUUUAGUCGAAUACGGAUGAGCAGAAUGACGGGCAGAUGACACAAACCAUCCCCAGUUGAGUAGGCAAUAGCAGCGAUGCAAUUUUCAUCCUGAAGCUGAAUAAGCAACUGAAAUUCGGAAUUUUAAUCUAAUCCUGGAUUUCGCAUGCAAAUAGCAGCUUUAUCCAAAUAAACCGAGUA